rfam:Wickerhamomyces anomalus NRRL Y-366-8 unplaced genomic scaffold WICANscaffold_1, whole genome shotgun sequence.
UUCCUCGUGGCCCAAUGGUCACGGCGUCUGGCUACGAUUUCUAGCUACUUCUGAAACCAGAAGAUUCCAGGUUCGACUCCUGGCGGGGAAG